rnacentral:rRNA from 1 species
AUUGAACGCUGGCGGCAGGCCUAACACAUGCAAGUCGAGCGGAUGAUGGGAGCUUGCUCCUUGAUUCAGCGGCGGACGGGUGAGUAAUGCCUAGGAAUCUGCCUGGUAGUGGGGGACAACGUUUCGAACGGAACGCUAAUACCGCAUACGUCCUACGGGAGAAAGCAGGGGACCUUCGGGCCUUGCGCUAUCAGAUGAGCCUAGGUCGGAUUAGCUUGUUGGUGGGGUAAUGGCUCACCAAGGCGACGAUCCGUAACUGGUCUGAGAGGAUGAUCAGUCACACUGGAACUGAGACACGGUCCAGACUCCUACGGGAGGCAGCAGUGGGGAAUAUUGGACAAUGGGCGAAAGCCUGACCCAGCCAUGCCGCGUGUGUGAAGAAGGUCUUCGGAUUGUAAAGCACUUUAAGUUGGGAGGAAGGGUUGUAGAUUAAUACUCUGCAAUUUUGACGUUACCGACAGAAUAAGCACCGGCUAACUCUGUGCCAGCCGCCGCAGUAACAC